rnacentral:rRNA from 1 species
UACGUAGGCAGCAAGCGUUGUUCGGAGUUACUGGGCGUAAAGAGUGUGUAGGCGGUUUUCUAAGUUUGGUGUGAAAUCUCCCGGCUUAACUGGGAGGGUGCGCCGAAGACUGGAAGGCUUGAGUAUGGGAGAGGAAAGCGGAAUUCCUGGUGUAGCGGUGAAAUGCGUAGAUAUCAGGAGGAACACCGGUGGCGAAGGCGGGUCUCUGGGCCGUAACUGACGCUGAGGAGCGAAAGCAUGGGGAGCGAACAGG